GUGAUAGAUAUUCAGUGGUGAAGAUCUAAAGUUACAAGGAGAGUUUCGUUUCCAGGAAAAACAUCGAUCGAUCAACUGAUUUGGUUUCAGACUGGAUGUAUUCUGCUUACACACAAGGCUUUGCAAAUUGUGCCCUCUCAUUCUCAAGCUUGUAAGUGAUAGGGAUUUUGCAAAUCUAUGAACAUCGGUAUCUACUGCUGAGGU